rnacentral:sRNA from 1 species
CUUGUUUCAAGUCACUAAGCUUGACUCUUAGAGAGCUCAGUCAAAAAAAAGGUUGAAGAGAGGAACAAAGGAGUCCUCAUCUUCAGUGGUUGAAUUUUCAGUUCCUGAAUCAUAUUCUGCAUCCUCUCUUGACAUAUGGUAGGAUGAGUACUCAUUUAA